AACACCCGGGGACUCUGCUCCGGACUCCAAAGAGGAAUCGCUCUCUCUUAUCAUAGACCACAAGUCCGUCAGCAGGUAGAAUUGUGCAGCAAAAGGUGUGCAAGCAAAACUGCCAAUGAGGGUGGAAAUCACUGAGGGAUAAUGAUAAACCACAGAGAAGACAGAAGCUUGGCAGAUUUUCAUUCUAACCUGAUGCUCUGUGACCUCAUGAGCCACAUUAAAUGACUGAUGUUUCCCCACCAACAUAGAGAAGCAGCUGAUAGACUCCUCAGGUGACCUUCCAACCCCUCUAUACCGUUACAUUUCUGCAAAGUUCCUGUGAUUCAUUCUGGGGAAAAGCGAACACUCUCAGAGUCCACGAUGUCCUACAACCUCGGUUCCACCUGCUCGUUAUCCUGAAGCUUACAGGAAUGAAGAGACUGUCUGCUUAAUCAAAGGACCAGGAGCCCCUGCCAGGAGCUGUUGGCUCUGCACAUGAAAAAAAGGACUUUCUUACAUGGAAGGUCACU